AGAGUUUGAUCCUGGCUCAGGAUGAACGCUAGCGGCAGGCUUAACACAUGCAAGUCGAGGGGUAUUUGGACUUCGGUCCAGAGAGACCGGCAAACGGGUGCGGAACACGUACACAACCUACCUUUAUCAGGGGGAUAGCCCAUAGAAAUGUGGAUUAAUACCCCAUAGGAUCAUAUAAUGGCAUCAUUAAGUGAUUAAAGAACUUCGGAUAGAGAUGGGUGUGCGUAAGAUUAGCUAGUUGGUAGGGUAACGGCCUACCAAGGCAACGAUCUUUAGCUGAUGUGAGAGCAUGAUCAGCCACACGGGCACUGAGACACGGGCCCGACUCCUACGGGAGGCAGCAGUGAGGAAUAUUGGUCAAUGGACGGAAGUCUGAACCAGCCAUGCCGCGUGAUGGAUGAAAGGCGUUCUGCGUUGUAAAACUUCUUUUAUCUGGGAAGAAACCACAGAUUUCUAUUUGUGUUGACGGUACCAGAGGAAUAAGCACCGGCUAACUCCGUG
rnacentral:rRNA from 1 species